AGAGUCUGAUCCUGGCUCAGAAUGAACGCUGGCGGCGUGCUUAGCACAUGCAAGUCGUACGAGAACGCUCUAGCUCGCUAGAGCAGGUAAAGUGGCGCACGGGUGAGUAACGCGUGGGUAAUCUACCCUGAAAUUGGGGAUAACGUUGCGAAAGCGACGCUCAUACCGAAUAACAUCCAUUUAUCUUCGGAUUUUUGGAUCAAGGGUGGCCUCUACAUGUAAGCUAUUGUUUGGAGAUGAGCCCGCGUACCAUUAGCUUGUUGGUGGGGUAACGGCCUACCAAGGCAACGAUGGUUAGCUGGUCUGAGAGGAUGAUCAGCCACACUGGAACUGACACACGGUCCAGACUCCUACGGGAGGCAGCAGUGAGGAAUUUUGCACAAUGGGGGAAACCCUGACGCACCAACGCCCCGUGAGUGAUGAAGGCCUUCGGGUCGUAAAGCUCUGUCAAGUGGGAAGAACCUAUGCAGUGUUAACAUCACUGUGUACUGACGGUACCACUGAAGGAAGCACCGGCUAACUCCAUGCCAUCAGCCGCGGUAAUACGGGG
rnacentral:rRNA from 1 species